rnacentral:rRNA from 1 species
UAGGGAAUCUUCCACAAUGGACGAAAGUCUGAUGGAGCAACGCCGCGUGAGUGAAGAAGGUUCUCGGAUCGUAAAGCUCUGUUGUUGGUGAAGAAGGAUAGAGGUAGUAACUGGCCUUUAUUUGACGGUAAUCAACCAGAAAGUCACGGCUAACUACG